rnacentral:misc_RNA from 1 species
CAAAUGGUGGCCCGGAGU